AGAUACUGAAAACAAUGCCCAGGAAUGCUAACAAGCAAGAAAGAGGAAGUUAUAUUCGAGCUACUUUGUGCCCUCCUCCCCUGUGAUGUUACCACUAGCAUCUUGACCAUUUUGGUUACUACUGGAGGGGAAAAAACCUCAAAUCCUUUCCUGAUCUUGGAAGGGCUCCAAAACAGAGCACAUAUUCCUUGCUUAAAAGUGACCUGUUUCAGUUUUUUUCUUAAUCCCUGCUAGAUUCUGGUUUGCCAUUAUUAAAACUCCACAGCGAAGCAUUUACUAGCUUUGUCCCUAUAUUUACAAUACCUUUUGACUGAGAUGUCUAAGAGCUUUAAACAUAUGCUUUAAGCAGUGAACGGUUGGCGCUGACAUUUGUUACAAAUCUUUUCAGAAGGCCUUGUGGAAUCGUUCUAAUCCGGGAAGAGCCACUGACUCACUGUGUGAUCUGACAGAGUGACAUAUCACUUGACCUCAGUCUCAGCAGCUGUAGAACGAGGUGCUGUCAGAUACAGUGCGUUGCGUUCUCCAUGAGAUGGCUAUGGGUGCUUUAAAACAGCAGAUGAAACGCUAUCCCAUUCUGCCAGCCCCAAGUAUGGGAGCUCUGGUAGAAGUCCAGCACUUGCAGCAGCAGCGCUUUCCCCUGCCAAAUUUCCUGACAUUGACAUUACCAGUGUUCAGACCUCAACUAGCUCCUGACCGAGGACAGCCUUAAACAAAAUGCCAUUUCCCUGCCCAUUCAGCAUGUUUACAUUUAACCUUAAGUUUCCUGCUAUUUAUUCAUGUGAAAUUUCUUCCCCACCUUAGCUGUUCUGUCUUAUAAUUGGGUAAAUCUUAAACAUUACUUAAAUAUCUGGAAAGCCACUCUAGUUUGCAUCUGGAUAGCCCCUCUCUGCAGAGAAAUCUUUGGUGGGCAUAGUACUUCUGCUGGUGCAUGUCUUUGCUGUACACUGCAGAGCAGAGGGAGAAGGGAGGCAGCUAAUGGUGGCCAGGGGGACUUGGACUCUUGUGAGCCUUGGUCUGGAGAGUGACCUGGUGAGGCAGGGGACUGAAAAUGUAGGAGGGAGAGCCCUUCUAGCUGAUGAAACUUUAAGACGGACUUAAGGCUGCUGUAAGAUAUUUUAAACCAAACUGUCCAAUAUCAACAGGAGUUUAAGGAGCAAACAGAAGGGUCCAUCCUCAGGUACAUGACAUGCCCAAGCAGCAUGAGCUAAACUGGAAAUAAGUGCACAAAAGCAAUCUCAUUCCAGGCUGUAGCACAGCUUCUGCUAGAGCUGUCUGGCACAGCCUCAGGAGCUGACGUCCUGCUUGAACUGUCAUGUCCCACUUGCAUUCCUGAGCCAUCAGACGACAGCAUGUGGAUGCGCAGGCAGCAGUCAGCAGCACAUGCCAAGCAAGUUUCGUACAAAAAUAGAAACACAAUAGAUCUUUCAAUUUUCCAGUGCGUCUUCCCCAGUCCUUACCCAUUUUACUUACAGUGAAAUGUAGAGGCAUGUGAGGUGCUGUGUCCUAGUUGCACUUGGUCUGUGCACAUCUCAGGGUGUUCUGAUCUAGUUUUAAUCCAGGCAAAACCAAGUAGUUUUGAUUUGAGUCUGGCCAAAAGUUUGAAGCAGUCAUAUUGUAAAUGGGGUGUUGGUUUGUGCCUUUUUCAUAAUUCUGCUAUUCAGAUUUUGCUCCAUCUUAUUCUCAUAUAAAUCAAACUGAAUGAACUUGAAGGUCUGAAGCAAUUACAGACCAAGGAAUCUUAAAAGUGCCAGCCCAUGGGAAGAUACACCUGCCACAUCCCUUUUCUUGGGCGUACCAGCCAUCUUACUAUUGAUCUCAUUGCUGUUAGUGACCUGGUGCCUCAGGCACAGACAGUUGCACUUGGGUGCCUGACUCCUCUAAUUUCAGCUGCUGGGGCAGCUGAAGCAUGACAGUUCAAAUCAUUCCGGGCCAGGAGUACAUAAUGUACGUCCCAUGCAUAAUGCCACUGCUACCUUUGGAUGGCUUCACCUACUCAUACAGUUUUGAAUUAGGUAUUUAGGAGUUGCUUCCAUUUCUCUGUGACAACUAGGCUAUUAUAACUGGACAGUUCUUUAAAAAUAAAAAUGAAUUUCCACUACAACCUUUAAUUUAAGGUGCCACGAACAUAAAAAUAAACAAGUUACAUUCUGUUUCUGAUUUUCAGACACUUGUACAUGAAUUGCCAAUAUACCAAGAGCAGUUAAGACCUACAGAAUAUUUUUGUUAUUUUUAUUUCAUAAUUUCAUGCUGGUUUUCUAACACGGCUUUGAAUUACCACUGUGACUUCCUGUAUUUCUGUGAAGAAGAAGAAAGAAAUGUUCUCCAUCCCAGGGAUAUGUGAUGCCAUACUUGCUUUUUUUUUUUUCCUUUUGUUCUUGAUUUUCUAGAGGGGAUGUCUCAUGAAAAAAAGAGUCAAAGAUGAUAACAGUUCUAGGCAAAACUCUUGCAUCAUUUAGUCUAGGUUUCUGAAUUGGGUAAUACAGCUUUCUAUGUAUUUACACUUGACUUUCAAUUAAAUCUUGGAUGUUUGCAGCAACGUCAUCUCAGCAGUCAGGGAGACUUCGUGAAGCUGUUUCCUUCAUUUAGUAGCCUACCAUAAGAUUUAAAAUUUGAUAUAUAAAUUUUGCGUUUUUAUUUUUCCCUGGCAGCUUCUAAUCAAUAUAAAAAUGUGAAAAUACCCUUUCCUUUAAUUGUUAAUGUGUUUGAUUGUGUAUAAAUUGUAUUUUUAUGUGCUAAUCCCAGAUAAAAGUGUAGGAAACAGCAUGUAUGUUAUCUCUGGAAUGGGCAGAGUCUUUAUAGAAUGAUAUUACUUCUGUAGACUUUUUAAGGGGCUCUGUUCUGGUGGUAUUCAGCAAUAUGAUUUCUGCUUCCAUUAUUUUUUUCCCUGUAUGUCUUCCCUUUAAAGUAAACCAAACCAAAUUAUGUAGGACCACUAGGAAAUUCUUUGAGAGGAAGGCUGCAAUAUGCAUCUGUACCAGUCAAACAACUUUCUAAUUCCCAGUUUAUUUCCUGAAGACACCUAGAUAGGGCUGAGCUGCUGGGUGUCUGAACUUCUUCCUGCUCUCAGUAUUUUAUCUGUUAUCUCAAACACUGUUCAGAAGACCCUAUACUGUAUAAAAGAGCAUACAGAAAUUGUGACCAGCCACACAGUGAGUAUAUUAAAGGUUCAUCCUCCCUCCUGCAAAACAUAUUUAAGGUUGUUUAAUAUUAUAAUAUUUGAAAAAAAAAAAAAGUCCAGAAAUGGGCUUUUUUCCCCUUUUUUCAUAACUGAGAAGAGCAUUCCCAUUCAGGGAGUGGGUAGUUCAGAACACUCUAGUGUUUCAGACCCUCUGAUUUUGAAGCUGGGGACUAACUCAGUAGUGCUUGCACAUUUUGAGUGGGAGGGAAAAUGUAAAGUGUACUUGAAAACACUUGUGUGCUAGACACCACCAUCAGGGAUCAGACCCCAAAGGGCAGGUUUACACUCCACUUUCCACCUUUGUGUUUGUCUUACUGAGUGUCUAAUCAGCUAAGCCAAACUUCCUUUACUCUAAGGAGGAUUCUUUGGGCCAUUUCAUGAUGUAUUUAUUAGUGCAAACUAUCUGUUCAGCUUCAACAGGAUUUUUUAAUAACAACUUUCUUAACGUUGUUCUGCUUUUGCAUGUCUUUUUAUGAUCUUCUGCAUUUUUGUCCCCCUUUACCUUUAGCUUUUCUGCUGAAAACUUUUACAACAAUAGUGAUCAUCUAUUUACAUGGGCUUUGCUUUUUCUUAAGAAUAGAUCUUUGUGUUUCAGUAAGAUCUGUGGAUCUAUUUUGAAAUAUCUGUUGUGAAAAAGACAACAUUUUCAUUUGAAAGGCAGCAUAAUAUUCUGGUUUGUCUCAUCACUUACUCUGCCUUUUAAUUGCUGUAAUUUUUUUCUCCCUGCAGGAGGUUUAAACAUCCAUGCACUGAAUAGAGAAAUAGCACAUUAAUUUCACAGUGACUUUACACAGUGAAGGCUGUUAUUUGUAAAAUGCAAACAUCCCAGAAGUCUUUAACAACUAGUUGUAGCUGCUGCACCUUGAACUUGGUGACAGGACUUCCCCAGAGCCUACUUGGACUGCCUUCCUCUGGCUCAGAGAGAAGGUUGGUUUCCUCAUGUUACUUCAUAGCUGCUGAAGUGCUACCUUCCUUUUCUAAUUUUCCUUUUUGACGUAUUUCCAAUAUCUGUAGGUAUUUACGUACAAACAGGUAUCCUCAUGUAUGACUUCCACUGCCUCUUUACUGAAGGCUAGCUGAGAAAAUCUCUGGCACCAUCCUUUGCCUUCUGCAUUGUGAAAAUGCAAGGGAUUUCAACAGCUUGGCUGCCUGAACUGGGGAGUGCUGAGAAGCUCUAUGCAGAAUGCUCUGUGAAGACAAAUCUUAAACCAAUGGCAGUAUUAGAAUUAAGAAAAUUAAUAAGGCAAAUUAAUAAUUAUAAGAUGUGAUACAUCUUAAAUACAGAUGUAAUAGAUGCUCUGAUCUCUGAUUUACAUGCAUGAAAACAGAGGCAGAAACUGUGCCUGUGUGCAUCCUUAAGUGCCGUAGCAGAGAUGCAAGUAGAGCACAGCCUUUCUUAGCAUCCUACGUACCGGUCCCCACAGUCUCUGAAGUGAAAGAGUUCUUUUAAUAACAGGACACUGAAACAAACACAAAAUGUUAAAGUUGUAUACUAAGUAUUUCUCUUGUGAGCUGCAACUGUAUCCAUUUGAAAUUAUGAGCAAGAAGAGAUUUGGCCUGUGAUGCUUGUUCCUGAGAUGACUGAGCUCUUAAUGCUGUAUAACUCUGCUUUUGGGUCCAGCCUUUUUAAAAUGCACCCUUACAGCCCAUGGAGUGAGACCAUAGCCCCACAGGCUCCCUGGUUACUGUGUGCCAAAGGCUGUGGAAGGUAACUCAUAGCAUUUUAGUGACAUGCUGACAUUCGUAUUGACCAAAUUCAUCCUCACACAUCAAUGUUCAAGGGAGAAAGGAGGUUUUUCUGGCCACAGGGAGCAAACAGACUUUCAAUAUGGCUUAUGUGUGAUUUUUUUUGCAUGGCCUGGGAAACUCACUCACUGAACUUUCAAUCUGAGUUAAUGUUUUAAAUGUAGUAUUACCAAACACAUUUGUUUGGUAAUUUAAAAUGCCAUCUAUUUUUCACUUGAGUAGCUCUUACUCCAAAGUAGCAUGAAGAAGGCUGGUUUUGAGAAGAAGGCCUAGAACUGGCCAAGAGGAGGGAAAUGCCAUGUUUGAAGCAGAAGCCUGUGAGAUAGCAUUCUGCAUAAACCUGCCAGUCUGGUUUCAAGAUGUGUAUCAUGGGGCAGUUUUGCUAUCCCCAGCACCACUACUGAUGCUUGUCCUGGAGAAAGAGAAUCCAUUAUGAUCUGUCCUGGCCAAAUAUCUACAGUCCUUUUCUGGAUUUAGUGAAAAAUCCGCCUUACCAGCCAACCUUCAAGUGUAUCUCUGCAAAAGGGCGUAAAACCCAGCAGGACUCCCUUAUCACAUGGCAUUAACUGACAUGACACUGACAUUUUAGAUAUGUGUGACUUCUUGCCUCCAACCCCCAUGCUGAGAUCUCAUGUUCCUUUUUUCCACAGGGUCAUGUUGUACACAGAGUCCCCACUGUGGCUUUGCACUGCUGGGUCAAGGGAAACAUGAGAUAACAAUUUUUACCCUUUCCUAGUAAUGGUUAAAUUUGGAGAAGGAAAAACAAAAGGUGUUUGUGGAUAUCAUCUUUGAGAUUGGUUUUAUAAAUCAGUGCAAAAUGGAAAGAUGGACCCUUUCCAGGGCUUUUGACCUCCUGUACCUUUAAGAGAGGGGUAGUGGGAUGGCAUCUAACAGGCUCUGUAGCUGUCACAGAUUUUAACUGUUUUCUUCUGAAUAGCAAGUGUGUGAUUCAAAGAGGGCCUGGCAAAAGCUUGGUGUAUUUUUGCAGUAGCAGCACUGGAAAUGCUUAAUGGAUGUAUGAGAUCCAGCAUCCAUGUAGACUGUUGUUGUUUUCUGCAACUUUCUGUAAGUUUGGGGAAAACUUAAUAAGUACUGUUUCUCUUUCUUUCUUUAAAAGAGACAGGGGGAGAAAGCCUGCAUUUUCUGCCAUUUCCCGAGAGGCUUUUUAUCUGUUUAAACCAACUAGGGAUUUUUCACAUAUUGACAUAAGCAUUCAUUUGCUAAUUUGCUGGACAUUAAACUGCACAGCAUUCUUGAAUGAGACUGAAAUACUUGGGUACUUAGUGCUGCGCAGAGCCCACAUCAUUCCCAGUACACAUAUGGUUUUCCUCCUCUAUCUCCUAGAUAAAAGUCACUGUUUGAUCGCCUUAAGGAAAAGAAUGAGUUAAAUGGACCAAUAUUCUAGCCUUGGCUCUAAAACUGGGCCUUUUCAGAAACUCCUCAGCACCUGCAGCAGCUAGGUCAUUUGCACAUACAUAAAUAAAUAAAUUAACAAUGAAUAAAUAAUUUAAUCCCACCACACAAUGCCACCUUGCAGAUCUGAUCCUUUGCUCCCAGUGAAUUUGUCCAUUCCUAAUUCUUUUUGAUAAAGUCCUCAGAUACUUGCUGACUGUCAGUCUAAUUUUCUUAUUGUUUUCGCUUGAUUAGUUCUGUAUGACCUAAGGUCGCCCUUAAAAUCCACAUCUCUCGUGAAGACUCCGAAAGGCCUUCUUUUUUUUCAAAGGGAUGGAAAGUGCCUGCCAUUUCUCCGGACAAAAGCCUGGAAGGUUUUCAGUUAUUAGCCUCCCAAAGCACCCCUUUCGCUCACCCAAGCGCAAAAAAAACUCAUUAGGGGGCACCUUUCUUUCUGGCUUCUUUAUCUGACGCAUGUAGGGUUUACGUGUUUCAAGAUUUGCACGUCUUGGAUGAAUUUGGACAGCCUCCCUUUUAACCCUGCCGGCCCGUGGUUAUGCCCACCACAGACAUUCACCGUAGCUCCAUGCCCUUAACCACCUGGAGAUGCUCCGUCUUCUUAAAAGCUGCUUUACACCCUGCUCUGUGGUGAACAGAAGACACUUCAGCAUGCUGCUGCACUUUAAAGCCAUGCUCCCGUGGGGUGCAGUGGAAAGUCAGGCAAGGCUGCCAGCUGCCAACAAGCUCCACAUUUUGAGCUCUGUGAUUAAAAUACAAAAUCAAA